rnacentral:rRNA from 1 species
CACGUAGGGCGCAAGCGUUGUCCGGAAUUAUUGGGCGUAAAGAGCUCGUAGGCGGUCUGUUGCGUCCGCUGUGAAAACUCGGGGCUUAACCCCGAGCCUGCAGUGGAUACGGGCAGACUAGAGGUAGGUAGGGGAGAAUGGAAUUCCCGGUGUAGCGGUGAAAUGCGCAGAUAUCGGGAGGAACACCAGUGGCGAAGGCGGCUUCCUGGACCUGAUCUGACGCUGAGGAGCGAAAGCGUGGGGAGCGAUCCGG